UGCUGCUUGUUGCUGACGUUUCUGCCCAAACAUCAUGAAAUGUGGAGAAGAAAGAACACUCAGAUGUGCCCUGGAGACUUUCCUUUUAUUUUUAAACAGUUUUUUUUUCCAUUGGGUUUGACCAACUCUAUAUUCGACUUGAACAAAUCCGAAGGAAAGCUUCCAAUUAUGGGGAACAAGUCCUCUGAAGUGGCUAAAUUCCCACACACACAAAAGAAAAGAUGAGUCUAUGCCCAGGACCACCAGAUAAUUGAGUCCUGUACAAAAGCUUCUGACUAAACAAUGUGCUCUGGCUCAGGACUAUACAGAGAAAAGACACAGUUUUUAAAUUGAUCGUUCAAAAGGAAACAUAUUUAUGAUAUUUGCUCCAUGAUAUGUAUCUCUCAUCUGUUAGCUCAGGCAGAAUUAAAAUGCUAGACAAUAA